ensembl:lncRNA
AUGAGACGUAGCUUCCGGGAAAGAGUUAUUAGAGCUGUUUACGCGAUCUGCAUCGUCAAGGACCUCUUGGGCUCUCUUCCGUUAUCCGAAUCAUUCAAAAGUUUUUAUAUGUUGUUUGGAUCAAGUAAUGUGAUCCAACCCACACUGGAGAAAUGUUGUGAGCCAUCUUCAACAGAAACCCAGUCUUUAAAAGAGGAUCUAUCACCAGUGCAUAAAUCAAUUAUUAGGAAAGAUGCAUACCUGAAGCGAACCCUGUUAUCAUCUGGGUUUGGGUGUCCUCUCUGCCCCAAUUUCCAGACAGAAAGUGAUGAAGUGAUCCAGAGGCAUUUGAGGAACCACAAUACAAAUGCUAUUAUUUUCCAGGACAAAUUCUGCAUCUGCCGGUGCAAAUUGUUCUGUCAUUUUGAAGGCCACUUCCAUUGUCCUUUUUGUGGUGGGACAGUAACUAAAAAGAAAGAUAUGACAUUCCAUCUUACCACUUGUCCAAACAAAAGUAACGUGAUCCAACCCACACUGGAGAAUUCUUCUGCAGACCACUCCUACCGGCAAGCAGCAUCACCAAAGACCCUGACACCUGCCACGGAUUUUGAUCAGACAACUGCUACCACCUCAGAAAAACCCACAAUUCAAGAGAGAGAAGUAAUUCUGCCACUGACCAAGGCUGAAAGUGAUGAAGUGAUCCAGAAACUCUUGAGAAACCACAAUGCAAAUGCAGUUCAUUUCCAGGACUUGUCUAGUAGAGUUGGAGGCCACUUCCAUCCUUCUUUUUGUGACAGUACAAUAACUACCAAGGACUUGAUGUUCCAUCUUACCACGUGUCCAGAUAAAAGUAAUGUGAUCCAACCCACACUGGUGGAAUCUUACAAAUUCUGCGUCUGCAGGUGCAACUCAUCUGCAGACCACUUCCAUUGUCCUUUUUGUGACGACACAAUCAUUCGUAAGGAAGAUAUGAUAUUACAUCUGAAUGUGUGUCCAAAUAAAAAUAAGUCAACCCAAUCCACAUUGGUGGAAUCUGCAGACCACUCUUAUGCAAAAGCAGCUUUACCCAAGACCCCCACACCUGUCACAGAUUUUGAUCAGACAACUCCUGCUACUACCUCAGACCAACUCAUGAUUCAGGAGGAGGAAGUGACUGUGCCACUGACCAACGUGCAUGAAUCAGUUAUUAGGAAUGAUACGGACCUGAAGCAAAGCCUGCUAACAUCUGGGUUUGAGUGUCCUCUCUGCCCCGAUUUCAAGACUCAAAGUGAUCGAGUGAUCCAGACGCAUUUGAGCAACCACAUUGCAAAUGGAGUGCAUUUCCAGGAAAACGUAGUCUGCAGGUGCAAUUUGCCUUGUAGAGCUGGAGGCCACUUUCAUUGUCUUUUUUGUGACAAGACACUAAUUAACAAGGACAGUAUGGCAUUACAUCUGAUCAGAUGUCAAAACAAAAGUACAGUGGUCCAAUUCCCACUGGUGGAAGCUUCACCAGAGCCUUUCACGCAGCCUUUAAUAGAUCCUCUGGAACCAUCAGGGAGUGAAGACCACUCGGUGUCCUCACAAACUGCAGAUCAUGCCUACACACAAACUCCCACACUCAUCACAGCUUUAAAUCAGACAACUCCUGCUACCACCUCAGACGCACUCAUGAUUCAAGAGGAGGAAAUAACUCUACCAUUGUCCAAGGCUGAAAGUGAUGAAGUGAUCCAGAAGGUCUUGAGAAACCACAAUGCAAAUGCAGUUCCAUUCCAGGACUUGUCUAGUAGAGUUGGAGGCCACUUCCAUCGUCCUUUUUGUGACAGUACAAUACCUACCAAGGACGUGAUGUUCCAUCUUACCACGUGUCCAGAUAAGAGUAAUGUGAUCCAACCCACACUGGUGGAAUCUUCUGGAGACCAUUCCUACACAAAAACAGCUUCAUGCAAGACCCCCACACCUGCCACAGAUUUUGAUCAGACAACUCCUGCUACUACCUCAGACCAACUCAUGAUUCAGGAGGAGGAAGUGACUGUGCCACUGACCAACGUAAAGUCACUUCCCCUUCAUUCUUUACAAGAGAAAGCAUGUCCAACUUCAAGACAUUACAGCAAUAUAGAGGAGGGAUUGAAUCGAGAUGUUUUAGCAUGUUUAAUGAAUAUCUGGACACAGGAUGAGCGCUGUAGUUCCUCCUACUAUAUUGGACCGUUAGGUAAAGGAUUGUCAGUUUUUAUUACAAACCCAUGUUCACCAAGUGAUCUGGUUUCUUCUGGUUCAGGUGCAUAA